rnacentral:rRNA from 1 species
GCAACCCUUAUCCUAUGGUUACCUCGCAAGAGGGUCUCUUAGGAAACUGCCGGCGAUGAGCUGGAGGAAGUGGGGACGACGUCAAGUCAUCAUGGCCCUUAUGUCCAGGGCUACACACGUGCUACAAUGGCUACUACAGAGGGAAGCAAGACCGCGAGGUAGGAGCCAAUCCCUAAAAGUAGUCGUAGUUGGGAUCGGAGUCUGCAACUCGACUCCGUGAACCUGGAAUCGCUAGUAAUCGCGGAUCAGAACGCCGCGGUGAAUACGUUCCCGGGCCUU